AUUGAACGCUAGCGGGAUGCCUUACACAUGCAAGUCGAACGGAGUGGCGAACGGGUGAGUAAUGUAUCGGAACGUGCCCAGUAGCGGGGGAUAACUACGCGAAAGCGUAGCUAAUACCGCAUACUAUUUGAGCGGCCUAUAUCGGAUUAGCUAGGUGUGGGGGUAACGGCUCACCAAGGCGACGGUCCGUAGCUGGUUUGAGAGGACGACCAGCCACACUGGGACUGAGACACGGCCCAGACUCCUACGGGAGGCAGCAGUAGGGAAUCGUCGGCAAUGGACGGAAGUCUGACCGAGCAACGCCGCGUGAGUGAAGAAGGCCUUCGGGUUGGAAAGCACUUUUGGCAGGAAAGCGGUACCUGCAGAAUAAGCACCGGCUAACUACGUGCCAGCCGCCGCGGUAAUAC
rnacentral:rRNA from 1 species